GAUGUCGGUUUACAGCCGCGAGGCGCUUCGUUAAGCAGCAACCCAAACUUCGCAGCUGGUGACAGGGUUUCUGCGUCGGGCGGUGGGUGACAGGGGCCGCGGGGAAGCCAGGGCGACUCGCUGAGCAGCUGCAAAUGAAUUCACGAAGGGCUCGGGCGGGCAGGGGCCUCUGGGGGCCACCUAGUCCACCCUCCCCGGUCAGGCAGAGCCAUUUGCCCUGGCCCACGUCCAGUUGGUUUUGGAGUAUCUCCGAGGAUGGAGACUCCACAACCUGUUGGGGCCACUCGCUGUGCCAGCGUUUGACCCGCCCUUACGGGACAAGACAGAUGGUUGUUUCUGUUCCAGUGGGGUGUCCUGUCUUUUAAUUUGUGCACCUUGCCUCUCACCCUGUUAAUGGGCGCCACCGAGGAGUGCCUGGCUGCCUCCGCUUCCAUCCCAUGAGGUGUUCGUGCACGUAGAUGAGGUCCAUCUGAGCCUUCUCUUCUCCAGGCUAAACAGCCCCCGUUCUCUUGGCCUUUCUUCAGACUCCAGGCCCUCCCUCGUCGUCACGGUGGCCCAUCCCCGGACUCUCUCUGAAACAUUCUGUGUUGUCCCUCUGUUCUGCUUGGCUUGCUGGCAGCAAAGUUGGAGUUACACAACAAAAGACGUGUAUGGGUCUAACGCAGAAAGAAGGCCAUGUACUCCACAGAUGUUCCUGUACACUAGAUGAGAACAAUGUUGAAACUGACCACAUGUGACUGAAACUGCGUUAAGCUUCAAGGUCAA